AGCAGCCGCGGUAAUUCCAGCUCCAAUAGCGUAUAUUAAAGUUGUUGCAGUUAAAAAGCUCGUAGUUGAAUUUCGGAAUCAAUGGAUCGGUCAUGCCACUCGGUGUGUACUGGUUUGAUUGGUUCUCACCUUCUAAGGAACCGUGAUGUCAUUAAUUUGGUGUCGCGGGGAAUUAGGACUGUUACCUUGAAAAAUUAGAGUGUUUAAAGCAAGCUCACGCUUGAAUACAUUAGCAUGGAAUAAUGAAAUAGGACAUUGUAUUCUAUUUUGUUGGUUUCUAGGAUCGAUGUAAUGAUUAAUAGGGAUAGUUGGGGGCAUUAGUAUUCAAUCGUCAGAGGUGAAAUUCUUGGAUUUAUUGAAGACUAACUACUGCGAAAGCAUUUGCCAAGGAUGUUUUCAUUAAUCAAGAACGAAAGUUAGGGGAUCGAAGACGAUCAGAUACCGUCGUAGUCUUAACCAUAAACUAUGCCGACUAGGGAUCGGAUGAUGUUAAUUUUAAUGACUCAUUC
rnacentral:misc_RNA from 1 species